GCGCGCUCGUCUGGGCGUCGUCGCGGCUGCCUCUGCGGCUCGGGAGCUGCAGCUUGGAGGCGCUGGCUGCGGGAGUCCGCGGGCGCCGUCGCAGGGGCACGAACCCGACGAAUCGGAGGAGGAGGCCGGGGACGUGGAGUCCCAGUGGCCGGCCCAGCCCCAGCCCUGGGCGAAGAUAUAGUGGUCGUGGCCGAGGAGGCUCUGCGGAGGAGGCGACUGGGCCAUGGCCGGGCUGCAGGCUCUGGGAGGCUGGGUUGGCCACCUCCAGGCCUGAGCUUUUAUGUUGACCAAAGACUUGGUCUAUCGUCUAGGCUGGAGUGCAGUGGCACCAUCUCAGCUCACCGCAACCUCUGCCUCCUGGGUUCAAGUGAUUCUUCUGCCUCAGCCUCUCAAGUAGCUGGGACUACAGAUGGAGUCUCACUCUAUUGCCCAGGCUGGACUACAAUGGCAUGAUCUCGGCUUACUGCAACCUUCACCUCUUGGGUUCAAGCAAUUCUGCCUCAGCCUCCCAAGUAGCUGGGAUUACAGGCAUGCACCACCACACCUGGCUAAUUUUUGUAUUUUUAGUAGAGACGGAGUUUCACCAUGUUGGCCAGGCUGGUCUCAAACUCCUGACCUCAAGUGAACUGCCUUGGAUCCUCGGCCUCCCAAAGUGCUGGGAUUACAGGCGUGAGCCACCAUGCCCAGCCUUUUUAAUUUU